rnacentral:lncRNA from 1 species
AUGAUUUUACAUUUUACAGAGCUCCUAUCAAGUGACAGCUCUGACAUGAAUGGGACAAGUCAUUAUAGUUGGAGUGAUUCUGCGCAGUCAGACCCUAUUUCUUUGAAGGUUGAAGAACACAUUGAAGAAGUGACUACGAGAUAUAGCUCUGAUGAUGAGGAAAAAUCAGACUUCGACAAUUUCUUAUCGAAUUUGAACUUCUUGAAAGGGCAGCGUGCGCCAUGCCCUGAAUUAGGUUGUGAUAUAGUGGAUGCGGGUGCUGGAUCCUCCUCGGAUGAUGACUGGUCGGAGAACGAUAGCACAGAUGGUUUGGAUAUAGUUAAUCCAGUGGACUCAUGGGAAGAAAACUGGUUAUUCCAACGCAGAAGAUUAGCAAAAAUAAUUCAUGUCAUCAGCCUGUGCCAGUCCCGAUGUUGGUGCCGAACCCAGCUCUCGAAUACCGGGCGCUGAUUGGGGAUGUCGAUGCGGAUGAGAUGUCAGACUUAUCUGAAUGCAGUGACUCUGUUUGGAACAACUAAUUGAUGAACCAAGUGAGUUUCUUACAACCGAUCAUGGUGACGAUCUAAGUUCAACCUAAUUAUACGUACGUACGUACGUAUGCGCGCAGUUUGCUGACGUAACAAAAGGGCUACAAAUACAGUUAUCGCAGGAAGGUCAUUUCAAUUUUUGCUCACUACGCGAAAAACAAGCCGCGGAAAUGAUAGAAAGAAUCGUUCAAAUUUAGGAGUGUCCACAAUUUGUAUCUAUUAAGUUUCAUCGCGCGAAUUAUAUGAGUUGGGAAUAG